UACGGAGGGAGCUAGCGUUGUUCGGAAUUACUGGGCGUAAAGCGCACGUAGGCGGCUUUGUAAGUUAGAGGUGAAAGCCCGGGGCUCAACUCCGGAACUGCCUUUAAGACUGCAUCGCUUGAAUCCGGGAGAGGUGAGUGGAAUUCCGAGUGUAGAGGUGAAAUUCGUAGAUAUUCGGAAGAACACCAGUGGCGAAGGCGACUUACUGGACACAUAUUGACGCUGAGGUGCGAAAGCGUGGGGAGCAAACAGG
rnacentral:rRNA from 1 species